rnacentral:rRNA from 1 species
CCUACGGGAGGCAGCAGUGGGGAAUAUUGGACAAUGGGCGAAAGCCUGAUCCAGCAAUGCCGCGUGAGUGAUGAAGGCCUUAGGGUCGUAAAGCUCUUUUACCAGGGAUGAUAAUGACAGUACCUGGAGAAUAAGCUCCGGCUAACUCCGUGCCAGCAGCCGCGGUAAUACGGAGGGAGCUAGCGUUGUUCGGAAUUACUGGGCGUAAAGCGUGCGUAGGCGGUUAUUCAAGUCAGAGGUGAAAGCCCGGGGCUCAACCCCGGAACGGCCUUUGAAACUAGAUAACUAGAAUCUUGGAGAGGUCAGUGGAAUUCCGAGUGUAGAGGUGAAAUUCGUAGAUAUUCGGAAGAACACCAGUGGCGAAGGCGACUGACUGGACAAGUAUUGACGCUGAGGUACGAAAGCGUGGGGAGCAAACAGGAUUAGAUACCCUGGUAGUCCACGCCGUAAACGAUGAUAACUAGCUGUCCGGACACUUGGUGUUUGGGUGGCGCAGCUAACGCAUUAAGUUAUCCGCCUGGGGAGUACGGUCGCAAGNUUAAAACUUAAGGAAUUGACGG